rnacentral:sRNA from 2 species
CCUUCACCGAUCGACGGCAGAGCCGUCCAACCUAAGAGGAUAACAUGCAUAUCAUCUGGGACGUACUGACGCUUCUGCUGACCAUCGGUUCGCUCUAUGGCGGUCGCGAAUACCGGAUUAUUCGCGCCCGUGCCCGCGCUCAGAAUUGGGGCAACUUCUGACCCGGUUCUGACGCCGCUGC